rnacentral:rRNA from 2 species
AGCAUGUGGUUUAGUUCGAAGCAACGCGAAGAACCUUACCAGGGCUUGACAUGCCGCUGACCGGUGCAGAGAUGCAUCUUUAUCCUUCGGGGUACAGCGGACACAGGUGGUGCAUGGUUGUCGUCAGCUCGUGUCGUGAGAUGUUGGGUUAAGUCCCGCAACGAGCGCAACCCUUGUCUUUAGUUGCCAUCAUUAAGUUGGGCACUCUAAAGAGACUGCCGAUGACAAAUCGGAGGAAGGUGGGGAUGACGUCAAAUCAUCAUGCCCUUUAUGUCCUGGGCUACACACGUGCUACAAUGGUCGGUACAACGAGAAGCAAGCCAGCGAUGGCAAGCAAAUCUCUAAAAGCCGAUCCCAGUUCGGAUUGCAGGCUGCAACUCGACUCCAUGAAGUUGGAAUCGCUAGUAAUCGCGGAUCAGCAUGCCGCGGCGAAUACGUUCCCGGGCCUU